UGCCAGACACUCCUCCUUUCUGUUCAAAAGAAGAACCGUCUGGGCAGCUGCUCGCAGCCAAUCAUUUCACGAUUUGACCCACAUCGGUCCAAUCACGCACCAAGAGACGGAAGCCGUCACCUGUCACCACCACGCACUCUUCCAAAACAUUAAAGAUGGCGGCGGAUACACUGUUUUCUUCGGCUCUUUCGUCUGUUUUAAAUCAUUUGGAAAAUAUGAAAUCCCUAAAACCGGAGCAAGAAACAGCGUUCGAAGCGUUCCUCGUAAAAAAGUACGUUUUUGGAAAGGCUUUCUGCCGCUUGUUACUGCAACGUAUCUAGCGUUGCUCUAAUUGGUUGAUGCCGUCUGUCAAUCACGCCCACCGGGAAAUUGUUGAGAUCACGCUCGCUCCCAGACUAUAUGUCUUUGAAAUAUCUAUGAAAAGGCAUGUCGUUUGGCAGGCCAGGCAAGCUUUAGUGCACGCUGGCACAAUGAACAUUACUAUUACUAAGACUGGUACUUUGUAAGUAACAAAAUCCAACCCAUUUUGUUGUGGUGUUAGCAUUAGUUAGUGGUGGCACAGCUUGGCUUUUAGUUGGUUGCUCCAGCAAGAUUUGACCUCACUACUAUUAAAUGGCAUUUGCUCCAAACUUUGUUGUGCUUCUUAUGCCUACGGCACUCCAGAGUCCCCACCUCCACCCUGGUCCUGGUGCCACCCCAGAAAAAACAAGUGGGGUGCAAAGUGAAGGAUAUACCUUUGCGCCACAUUGGGCGUGUUGUCAAGAGUGAGCCUCAGCUGCUUUAGGCUGGAGAGUAAUGGUGGUCCAUCUAUUGGAUUAACGCAGGGAUUUCACUGUGGUAUUAAUCUGACAGACAGCAGGGACCGAGGACGCACACCCGCUGAGCUGCUGUGUCUCUCUGCGUCUGGUAACCGCUCUCUCCACGCGGUCUCCUCGGGAUCCACCUCUCCUCCAGGACCGACCUCCAACAUGAACCUCUUCUGCUUUUCACUGGAGGGGUCCAUGGACAGUUUAUAUGAGGCGGUGCAGGCCUCUAGUGACGUUCCGCUACAGCCUGUCCCGAGCCGUGCCUCCAGCCGCCCCUGCAGUCGCACUGUGAGCCGCUCUGGAAGUCCUGCAGUCCUGCUCGAUGAUCACAAGAAAUGGAGAGGCUCGGGGAAGUCUAUUUCUGUGGUAGGUUUAUUUAGAUCGGUUUUUGUCUCGGUUUAGCCCUGGUUUAGUCUUGGUUUUGCUGAUGACCUAAUUAAGUUCAGGUUUAUUACUCCUUUUCCCUGCAUAACUGUUUCUUAAAAAGACAUAUUUAGCUUUAGUUUCAGAAUCUUCCUGCAUUGAUUCUUAUUUCUGAUUUCCCAAAGGUAGUACUUUAAAGUUUAAGCGACGAGAAUGUAGGGUGCAUGAGACAAACACAGCAUGAAAAGUUGGCAAAUCAAUUAAAAAACGUCACAAAUUAAGUGGCGAAGUAGCAGAUUGUCCCAGCUUUGUUAAAAGCUGAUUAAAACCCCUUGUGGCAUCUGCUUUGGUACUACACUGUGUGGCAUCCAAAUUUAGCCUCUUUAACCCGUUUCAUCUAAAUGAAAUGGGUCUGAAUCUGACAAUGCAAUAUGAAUCAUCUUCAUCACCGUUUUUGUUGUUUGUUUUUAUUCAGGAUAUGCCUCAGUUGAACACGACCACUAAUAAAAAGAAAAAAGGUAAGCUCAAGCAACAGUUUGGCCACUGAGAGCUGACGUUUUCAACAAAUAAU
ensembl:lncRNA